rnacentral:tRNA from 1 species
GAGGGUACAGCUCAGUGGCAGAGGGCUUGCUUAGCAUGUGUGAGGCCCUGGGUUCAAUCCCCAGUACCUCUA